rnacentral:ncRNA from 1 species
GAAAUGCACUAUAUCGCUGUCUUACCAAGAGUUAGACAAGAAGAUUGACACCACUCUCAUGUCUGUCUACAAAUAUGAAAAUAUAUGUAAAAUCACCAGCCAAUUAUCUUAGCUUAGCACAAAGACUGGAUUCUAGAUAACCUUGAGCCGAUUGCUGGCCAUCAGGCCGGCGAUGUCUAAUUCGAAUGUCUGCCUUCUCAACUUUCUAUGGUACUUUCUGUGCCUACCAUGUCGACCACGGGUAACGGGGAAUCAGGGUUCAAUUCCAGAG